CCUUUUUGGUUUUGGUUAUGUUAUCAAGAAAAGAAGCCUUUGGGGUUCUCUUAUCUCUAAGAUUUAGGCUUUUGAAGAGGAGAAAAGUCAAUGCAUAGAACUUAGUGCCUGUUUCCUUAAUAUAUAGGAAUGCUUGGUACAGAUUUCAGAGCCAAGUUAGUUUUUGUUUUUUUGCUGAGGAAAAAAAGCUCAGCUCUAGCACCGGAAGAUUGAGAAACUAGCUCUAGCCAGAGAAAGAAAAAGAGAAGGUGGAAGAGAAGGAGG
rnacentral:lncRNA from 1 species